ensembl:snoRNA Y55F3BL.5 ncRNA
AGGGCGAAUAAAUUUUGGGAGAAAAGGGAGAAAUUCGGCGGGACAUUGAGUGAAAAAUCGCGAAAAUUCGACGAAAAACGAGUGAAAAUUGAAUUUUCUUGGAUUUUUGGAUUUCUGGCAAUUUCGGCCCGAAAUUCAGA